rfam:Aureimonas sp. Leaf454 contig_1, whole genome shotgun sequence.
CGCCAUUCCGAGGGGCGCACUACCUGCAGUGCUGAGAUGGCGUCGAGCCAGCACCCUUGAACCUGAUCCGGGUCAUGCCGGCGUAGGAACGGGAAUGGGCAUCGAG